UCAAACAAAACUAAGGACCUUAUUGAUAAUAAAAUAAUUUACGAAAAACAAAUCGAAAGACAUGAACCAUGAACAACAGCCACUGUACUACAUGAGCAUGGCUUUGGAAUGGGCAUUGGCACAUAAACUCAACCCUCCGAAAUGAACCCAACCGAGGACAGCACAACGCAUGAAAAAAAAAUGUAAAAUAUCAGUUACAAUUGGCUUCCCUAAAAAUGUUGGUACGGUGCACAAUAAACGGUAAUUUAUAGACAGACUUGUCGACACAUAGACAGGCCUGCAGUUGAGAAUGUAGAAAGACUAGGGGACACAAAGAAAGACAGAUUUAAUAGUUGACACAUAGACAGACUGAUAGACCUGUAGACAGACUUGUGUUAUUGCAAAAGAACUAAAAUUUUGUAUAAAUAAACCUUUUUCUAACACUGUUCGGUUUAAUUUUCAGACG
rnacentral:lncRNA from 1 species